rnacentral:rRNA from 1 species
UACGGGGGGGGCAAGCGUUGUUCGGAAUUACUGGGCGUAAAGGGCUCGUAGGUGGCCAACUAAGUCAGACGUGAAAUCCCUCGGCUUAACCGGGGAACUGCGUCUGAUACUGGAUGGCUUGAGUUUGGGAGAGGGACGCGGAAUUCCAGGUGUAGCGGUGAAAUGCGUAGAUAUCGGAAGGAACAUCAGUGGCGAAAGCGACUUCCUGGACCAAUACUGACGCUCAUGUGCGAAAGCGUGGGGAGCAAACAGG